rnacentral:ncRNA from 1 species
GAACGCCGUGUGCGGUGAAAGUCGCACGCACGGUGUGGAGCGGGGGAAAAUUCAGAGAUUACUUCAAAGAAUUACCUAUCGCUAU